UGAGUAGGAGUUUGCCAGGUGAUCAACAUAUGGACUUGGCUGGCUCAAAGUGCCAAGGAGGCCUUUCUCAAAGGUUUCACAGAGCUGUCCCACCACCUGGAACUCACUUGCUCAAGAGGCUGAGAAGGCUGGGGUCUGUCUCUUUUAUUUCUGUAUCUCCCAUAGGAGGGGGGGGGGGGAGUGGGUGGGGAGGGUAAUUCUCAGCGUCUGCCUCAAUUUCUCUAGAUGUGUGUUUCCCUACACUGUCCCUCCUGAAGGGCUACCUCCUUUAGCCCUUUUUCUUUUCUCUCAUUUCUGUGUCUCUGUGUUUCUCCAUUUUCCUCUCCAGGCAUCUUACCCCCUCCCCAGCGUUUCCUGCCCCCCCCCCCCCCCCGCCCCUGCACCGUGGCCUCCCAAGACCACCCGCUUUGUUUCCUGGCUUCCUGUGGGCGUCCUGAGUGUGUUUCUCUGAGUCCCUAUGAGCGUUCUGAGUUUUUGCGGCCUUUCUCGGAGCGUUGUGUCAGAAUGUGUUUCUCUUUUUCUCCGUGUAUUUUUCUCUGUGUGUUUCAGGAUAAGUUUUUGUCUCUUUCUCUGUCUUUGUGUAAGCGUGUGGGUAGGUCUCGGUUUCUUGGUGUGUGUGUGUGUGUGUGUGUGUGUGUGUGUGUGUGUGUCCUCCACCCUCUUCACCGCCAAGGGGCUCUAAAUCCACCAGGAUAAAACAGCCCCAAGCCUCCGCCUCCUUCCUUCCCCCUGCCGGGAACACCCGUCCCAACGCCCAGGUCGGAAGAAGGGACCCCCGGCCCGGCCCGGCGCGAGGCUCGCAGGGCUCCCAGGCGCGCAGCUCCCGCUUUGCCCAACUUGUGGGCGCCCGGGCUGCAGUGCGCGGGCUCCGCGGCCCCAACAAAGAUUUCCAGCUUCUCUGGGAAAUUCAGAAGAUCUCUCAAAACACAGCCCCUAUGGCAUGGGUAGGAAUGAUUCAAAGUUCUGAGUAGGACUCCUCUCUGUCUCCAACACGGGAGGUACAAGCAGUACCCUUCCUUCCAAUACGUCUACACGCAAGCGGGUUUUCUCAAAAAAGCUGGCCUGGAUUGUCCAUCAUGGAGUUGCUCCCCGGCCUCUCUCCUUCCUGGUUCAGAGCAGAUACCAGCGGCUGGAGAAGGUCACACAGCAAGAUGGGCUUUGCCAUUGGUUCGUGAUCACAGGCCGAACACAGGCACUCAUUGCUGGUGAGCCAUCUGUCCCCAGGGACCCAGGUCUCACUCUCCUGCUCCCUUAGACAACAGCUUCAUUUCAUCAACCCCCUCACAGCCCUCUUCCACUCUCACUGGCUUCCUUCUGAAAGAAAAGAUGCGGUGCCUUCUUCACCCUUUGAUCAUGAAAUCUCUAUACUUACCAGUGUUUUUAUUCAUUCUUUCCUCUUUUGCUUCUGCUCUGAAUCCUACCCCCUCCUUCUCAAGGUCCUGGAUCCUUUGCGUUUUUCUAUGUUCUUCUGACUUACUAUCUCAGCCCAUCCUGCAGAAUCCCCAUCAGCAAACGAUUGAGCUCAUCUUAAAUACCGCUGUCUGCAUACCAAGUGCCUCUGUCUACCCGCCCAUGUCUCUGUUCCCUCUCAGCACUAAAAUUCUCCUUAUGUCUCAAUGCCAUCCAAAAAGCUGUCUCUUCUGGCUACCUCCAUUCGUUCUUCUGCCUGCUCAGAUCUGCCUGAUGCCCUGCCUUGCUCCAGAGAGUUGACUUCUCAAGGUCACUAUGAUCUCCAUGUCGCCAAAUGCCCUGGAUGUCCAUGUCUCUUUUUGACAGCAGUCUCUAACCCUGGGGCUGAAGAUGGGAGAGAUGGUAAGUACAUGGUAUAAUGGGUGAAGCUGUGUCCUCCAAAAAGACAAUGGGUAAGUUCAAGUGGGAAGAAGCAUGCCUAAGAAAAAUUUUAAAGCCAUAAAAAAUAAGCAUUACAUACACAAGACAAAAUGCCUUUAUUUUUUUCCCACAAAUUAAGUCAGAGGCUAAAAGCACAGGACCCAGAGACCACCU